AGUGGGGAAUAUUGCACAAUGGGCGCAAGCCUGAUGCAGCCAUGCCGCGUGUAUGAAGAAGGCCUUCGGGUUGUAAAGUACUUUCAGCAGUGAGGAAGGGGUGUACGUUAAUAGCGUGCAUCUUUGACGUUAGCUGCAGAAGAAGCACCGGCUAACUCCGUGCCAGCAGCCGCGGUAAUACGGAGGGUGCGAGCGUUAAUCGGAAUUACUGGGCGUAAAGCGCAUGCAGGUGGUUCGUUAAGUCAGAUGUGAAAGCCCGGGGCUCAACCUCGGAAUUGCAUUUGAAACUGGCGGACUAGAGUACUGUAGAGGGGGGUAGAAUUUCAGGUGUAGCGGUGAAAUGCGUAGAGAUCUGAAGGAAUACCAGUGGCGAAGGCGGCCCCCUGGACAGAUACUGACACUCAGAUGCGAAAGCGUGGGGAGCAAA
rnacentral:rRNA from 1 species